rnacentral:rRNA from 1 species
GGGGAGGCAGCAGUGGGGAAUAUUGGGCAAUGGGCGCAACCCUGAUCCAGCAAUGCCGCGUGAGUGAAGAAGGCCUUCGGGUUGUAAAGCUCUUUUGUCAGGGAAGAAACAGCAGCUCUAACACAGUCUGCGAAUGACGGUACCUGAAGAAUAAGCACCGGCUAACUACGUGCCAGCAGCCGCGG